rnacentral:tRNA from 1 species
GGGGAUUUAGCUCAGUGGUAGAGCACUUGCCUAGCAAGCGCAAGGCCCUGGGUUUGAUCCCCAGCUUCA